CCUCCUUUCUCCUUCAAGGCUCAGCUCAACCACUGCCUCCUCCCAACUAGUAAGGAUAUCUCUUUAUGCAACUUGUACAUGUUUCUACCGUUACACUUGUCACCCAGUUUCACCACUCUUUAAUUACCAGGAAGUUUUUGAAGUCAGAGACCAUGUCCUGUCUUGUCUCUUUAGAAUCUAGCGCCAUACCUGGAGGUGCUCAGUGAAUAUUUGAUAGACGAGUGAAUAAAUGAAUGAACUAUCAAACGAACACCUGGUCUCCAACAUAAAAUGCUUUAUAAUCUAGCUAUAAAGACAGAACAGAUACAUACAAAUGACACAAGGUCACUAACACUAAGAGCUAAAUGCCAAAUGAGUGGAACAAAUGACCAGAGCUAUGCAAUGAGAGGAGAGAGCUCACCCGGGCUGUGAAGACAGAGCAAACUAUCAUCCCCAACGAACAGCUGGAGAAACUAACACAGCUAAUAACAACCGUAUGAGAGAAGGAAGUGUCACCUAAAAGGAUGAAACGAAAAGACGUAUCUCUGGUUUGGAGGCUCGUAGCCAAAAAUAGACAGAAUGUAAAUCAGAAGACUGCUUGCCUAAAUCUGGCAGAAGAAAGGAGCUCUCCCUGUUGAGCCAGACGUACCACUGUUGGGGCAUCCACCUAGGAUGGGGAAGGAACAGGUGCCAGAUGCACUAACUGAUGUUCCAUGACCCACAAGCAAAGCGUCCACCUGAACAACCCUCCUGGUACUACCGUGGCCACUCUCUGGCUUAUCCAUGAGGACAGGAUCUGAUGGACACUGGUCCCAACAGUAAGUAACCCGCUAAGUGGUGCCGGUACUGACCCCAGGUUACUUACGAGGAAGAUGGGGC
rnacentral:lncRNA from 1 species